GCCUGAUGGAGGGGGAUAACUACUGGAAACGGUAGCUAAUACCGCAUAACGUCGCAAGACCAAAGAGGGGGACCUUCGGGCCUCUUGCCAUCGGAUGUGCCCAGAUGGGAUUAGCUAGUAGGUGGGGUAACGGCUCACCUAGGCGACGAUCCCUAGCUGGUCUGAGAGGAUGACCAGCCACACUGGAACUGAGACACGGUCCAGACUCCUACGGGAGGCAGCAGUGGGGAAUAUUGCACAAUGGGCGCAAGCCUGAUGCAGCCAUGCCGCGUGUAUGAAGAAGGCCUUCGGGUUGUAAAGUACUUUCAGCGGGGAGGAAGGGAGUAAAGUUAAUACCUUUGCUCAUUGACGUUACCCGCAGAAGAAGCACCGGCUAACUCCGUGCCAGCAGCCGCGGUAAUACGGAGGGUGCAAGCGUUAAUCGGAAUUACUGGGCGUAAAGCGCACGCAGGCGGUUUGUUAAGUCAGAUGUGAAAU
rnacentral:rRNA from 1 species